rnacentral:misc_RNA from 1 species
GAUGAAGAACGCAGCGAAAUGCGAUAAGUAAUGCGAAUUGCAGAAUCCGUGAGUCAUCGAAUCUUUGAACGCACAUUGCGCCCUCUGGUAUUCCGGAGGGCAUGCCUGUUCGAGCGUCAUUGCUGCCCUCAAGCACGGCUUGUGUGUUGGGCCUCCGUCCUCCUCCCGGGGGACGGGCCCGAAAGGCAGCGGCGGCACCGCGUCCGGUCCUCGAGCGUAUGGGGCUUCGUCACCCGCUCUUGUAGGCCCGGCCGGCGCUUGCCGACACAUCAAUCUUUUUUCCAGGUUGACCUCGGAUCAGGUAGGGAUACCCGCUGAACUUAAGCAUAUCAAUAAGCGGAGGA